GCUGCUAAUACCCCAUAUGCUUUCGAGUGAAAUGGGUUUUUCGCCUGGAGAGAAGCUCGCGGCUGAUUAGCUUGUUGGUAAGGUAAAGGCUUACCAAGGCGACGAUCAGUAUCUGGUUUGAGAGGACGAUCAGACACACUGGAACUGAGAACGGUCCAGACUCCUACGGGAGGCAGCAGUAGGGAAUUUUCCGCAAUGGGCGAAAGCCUGACGGAGCAAUACCGCGUGAGGGAAGACUGCCCAUGGGUUGUAAACCUCUUUUUUCAGGGAGGAAUUAAAUGACGUGUACCUGAAGAAUAAGCAUCGGCUAACUCCGUGCCAGCAGCCGCGGUAAGACGGAGGAUGCAAGUGUUAUCCGGAAUCACUGGGCGUAAAGCGUCUGUCGGUGGUUAAAAAAGUCAACUGUUAAAUCUUGAAGCUCAACUUUAAAAUCGCAGUCGAAACUGUUUAACUAGAGUAUAGUAGAGGUAUAGGGAAUUUCCAGUGGAGCGGUGAAAUGCGUAGAUAUUGGAAAGAACACCGAUGGCGAAAGCACUUUACUUGGCUAUUACUGACACUCAGAGACGAAAGCUAGGGUAGCG
rnacentral:rRNA from 1 species